CAGCUGCUUUCAGAGGCGUGAAGUUAAUUUUCCUGUGAGCAGCAACGGCUGAGAACCACAGAUUCGAUCGCUAGAAGAGAAAUCAUGGAGGCACGUUUCCUUAUCAGCAUUUGGCUGUUUAUUCACCUAGGUGUAGUGCUGGGUGACUCGGUCCAGUCUAAGGAACCCCAAAUGUCUGGAAUAGAAGGAGGCUCUGUGACCCUCAAUUGCUCCUACACUACCAGCUAUACCGGUUCCCUCUCUCUCUACUGGUACCGCCAGUAUCCCAGCCGAGCCCCUCAGUACAUUCUGCAGAGAGGCGCCAAGGGAAACACGUAUGAUCAUACUGCAGAUUUCGCCCAAGAGAGAUUUUCUUCCCAGGCUGAUGACAGCUCCACCGUUUUAACCAUAGCAGUCCUCGAGCCGACAGAUACAGCGAUGUAUUACUGCGCCCUGCAGAGGGCACAGUGACAGAACCACAUAGCAGAGCUGUGCAAAAACCCUCUUUCCUUUCUGCAAUUGGAUUUAGACAUAUUGAGGAUGGAAGCAGGGGCCCUUGGCAGAUUUGUUAUACUGUGAAGAAACUCAUCUUUUGGAGUAGUUUUGGUGGUGUCAAGGUAUAUCUUCCGAUUCCUCCCAAAAGCAAAUCCCUGUGCAAACGUAAGAAGGGCCAUACUGGAUCAGACCAAUGGUCCGUCUAGCCCAGUAUCCGACAAUGGCCAAUGCCAGGUGCUUCAGAGGGAAUGAACAGAAAAGGUAAUCAUCAAGUGAUCCAUCCCCUGUUGCCCAUUUCCAGCUUCUGACCAAGAGGCUCCAGGGACAACAGGCUCACUCAUCCUCUGUCAGCUUUAGUUUUGCUAGGUAACAUAAAAGAAA